CAUGGGUUCAGGCAAUUCUCCUGCCUCAGCCUUCUGAGUAGCUGGGAUUACAGGCACAUGCCACCAUGCCCAGCUAACUGGGGCCUGUUUUGUAGGUUGAAAUGGCGGUGGUUGUGGUGGCGGUGGUGGCAGCUGCAAUGGCAGCGGGCCACCCAGGGGUAAGCCCCUCAGGAGGAGGGAGCAGCAGAGGGAGUGGCAGAGGCCAGGGUGGGGUGGGGCCGCCUGGGAGGGAGGAGCACAGGAAGGAAGAGGCCGGGCCAGGAGAGCCCCAGCCCCAGGAGGAUGUAGAGAAGGCAGAGCGUCUCCUGGCGCAUUCCCUGCCCGCCUGACUGACUUACUCAGCUAAGGAUGCUCCUGGCCCUUGCUGGGACCCUCAAGCUGCCAUGGACCCAGGUGAGGAACUCUGCGUGCCCGCAUCUGCCCUCAGCCUCCGUGGGGUCCAGGUAGCCCUCUGAACUGGCUGGCCAGGGCGGCUGGCGGGACUGAACCCCCCUGGCAGAGCAGCCUCCAGGAUCGCCCUGGCCCCAGCAUCCCCGGCUCCCACCCUGGGCUCCAGGUCCCCCCACUCCUAAACCGGACUCCAGGUCCCCACACCCCUAAACCGCACCCAGGGAAAGGUACCUACGGUCCAAAAAAUGCACACUCCAGCCCCCACCAAGGGACAGCGCCAGGCAGUACCUGGCACAGUGGGAAGUUGAACUGUCCUGAGAAUAACUGCCAGUUCACCAGUUGCCAGGCACGAGAGCUCGAACUAUGAGGAGAAAACCGCCAGCUCAGAAAGCGACUGUUGGGAGCCCGAACUCUUGCGCAAACAGCCGCCAGGCACGCGCUGCAGGAGCGCAGAGCAUGGCGUGGCAAGGGCAGCCUUGGAGCCAGCUGAACUGGCAGGAGGAGCACGACUUGUCAGAGCUCGUCUGGAGUGUUGCCAGCCUCCAGGAGGAAACGGACCCCAACUUCCAGCCCGCCCUAAACUUUGCCUGGUCCAACUUAAUGAGCGGAGCAGAGCGGGGCGGGGUGGCGCGCAGGCCCACGGCGCAGGGGACAGUGAUUUAACCUGUCCUUACUGCCUCUGCUUCCACUCCAGCUAGAAUGCUACAUCCGUGCACAGCUCCUCGAAGGUAGCACGGUAAGUCGCCUAAUGCAAUUGCUAAUGCGGUUUCUCUUUUAACUAGUUUCUUGUUUGGUUGGUUGGUUGGGUUUUGUUUUGUUUUUG
rnacentral:lncRNA from 13 species